ensembl:lncRNA
CUACUGGUUUCCCUGGUAACUAGUGAGCCUGCUGCUGCUGCUAAGUCGCUUCAGUCGUGUCCGACUCUGCGACCCCAUAGACAGCAGCCCACCAGGAUCCCCUAUCCCUGGGAUUCUCCAGGCAAGAUCACUGGAGUGGGUUGCCAUUUCCUUCUCCAGUGCAUGAAAAUGAUAAGUGAAAGUGAAGUCGCUCAGUCGUGUCUGACUCUUAGCAACCCCAGGGACUGCAGCCCACCAGGCUCCUCCGUCCAUGGGAUUUUCCAGGAGCGAAGACUGCCUGCGGUCCUGUCCUGCCCGCCGUCUGCUGCAAGCUCUGGGGUGUCCUCCAGGACCUUGCUUCAGACAGUCCCCAUGAUGAAAAGGACAUUCCCUGUGGACACCAGCCUAAAUCAAUUGAAUUUCCAGCUGGCAGCAGACAUGGGUCUGGGAGUCAGAAGUCUGAAAGCAAGACGCCAGCAAGGCCACAUGCUCACUGAAGUUUCCAUAAGAGAAGCCUUCCUGGCUUCUUCCAGCUUCUGGUGGUUCAAGGUGUUUGUUACCUGUGGUUGCAUGAAUCUUAUCGUUUGUCUUCACAUGACUUUCUCCUCUGUGUCUCUGGCUUGGCCUUCUCCUCUGUAUAUCUGUGUCUCCUCCUCUUCUGUUAUUUAUAAGGAUGUAUCAUUGGAUUUAGGGUCUCCCCAUAUUAUUCAGAAUGAUCGCACCUCAAGAUGCUUGCCUUCAUUAUAUCUGCAAAGAGCCUUUUCCUUUUUUAUCUUCCCCCAGAUCAGGCUGUAUUUACAGGUGAUGGGGGAUACAUCUUUUUGAGGCCACCAUUCAAC